rnacentral:rRNA from 1 species
UCGGGAAUUUUGGGCAAUGGGCGAAAGCCUGACCCAGCAACGCCGCGUGAAGGAUGAAGUAUUUCGGUAUGUAAACUUCGAAAGAAUAGGAAGAAUAAAUGACGGUACUAUUUAUAAGGUCCGGCUAACUACGUGCCAGCAGCCGCGGUAAUACGUAGGGACCAAGCGUUGUUCGGAUUUACUGGGCGUAAAGGGCGCGUAGGCGGCAAUUCAAGUCAUCUGUGAAAUCUCCGGGCUUAACUCGGAACGGUCAGAUGAUACUGCUUUGCUAGAGUGCAGAAGGGGCAAUCGGAAUUCUUGGUGUAGCGGUGAAAUGCGUAGAUAUCAAGAGGAACACCUGAGGUGAAGACGGGUUGCUGGGCUGACACUGACGCUGAGGCACGAAAGCAUGGGGAGCAAACAGGAUUAGAUACCCUGGUAGUCCCUGAGCGGGCUGGCAAGGCGCAU